GGCCCGGUGGCGGAGCGUCGACGCGGAAGCUGUGCAAGGCUUCUUAUCCUGGUUCAAAUCCAGGCCGGGCCUCCA
rnacentral:tRNA from 1 species